GACGAACGCUGGCGGCGUGCUUAACACAUGCAAGUCGAACGGAAAGGCCCUGCUUUUGUGGGGUGCUCGAGUGGCGAACGGGUGAGUAACACGUGAGUAACCUGCCCUUGACUUUGGGAUAACUUCAGGAAACUGGGGCUAAUACCGGAUAGGAGCUCCUGCUGCAUGGUGGGGGUUGGAAAGUUUCGUCGGUUGGGGAUGGACUCGCGGCUUAUCAGCUUGUUGGUGGGGUAGUGGCUUACCAAGGAUUUGACGGGUAGCCGGCCUGGGAGGGUGACCGGCCACAUUGGGACUGAGGUACGACCCAGACUCCUACGUGGGGCAGCAGUGGGGAAUAUUGCACAAUGGGCGGAAGCCGGAUGCAGCAACGCCGCGUGCGGGAUGACGGCCUUCGGGUUGGAAACCGCUUUCGCCUGUGACGAAGCGUGAGUGACGGGAAUGGGUAAAGAAGCACCGGCUACCUACGU
rnacentral:rRNA from 1 species